rnacentral:rRNA from 1 species
AGCAGCAGCGGUUAUACGUUAUUAUAAAUUAAUUUUUUCUGAAUAAAUAUAUUUAAACUACUAAUUCAAAAAAUGAAAUUUCUAAAAAUAGUAAUUCAAUAAUCUCACCAAUAUUAGAUCUAAACCAGGAUUAGAUACCCUGCUAUCCUAAAUUAUUAAAAAUAAUUCAAAAAGAUAUAAUUAAAUAAAUCUGACGGUAUUAACUUUUACAAAGGAAUUUGUUUCUAAAUCGAAAACACACGAUAAACCUUACUUAAUUUAUGCCUGUAUACCACCGUUUAGAAUUUAUUUUAAAUAAAAUUCCAAAUAAAUUCCCUUAAAAGAUCAGGCCAAGGUGCAGCUUAAUUAAGCUGAAAUGAACUACAUUAAUAUAUUAUAAGAUUUGAAAUAAAAAAAAUCUUAAAAAAAGAAUUUGUUAGUAAAAAUAUAUCAUAAUGAUAUUUUGAAAAUCAUCAUUAAUAUGUACAUAUCGCCCGUCAUUCUUGU